UACGGGGGGAGCAAGCGUUGUUCGGAUUUACUGGGCGUAAAGGGCGCGUAGGCGGCCACCGCAAGUCAGUUGUGAAAUCUCUGGGCUUAACCCAGAACGGUCAGCUGAUACUGCGGGGCUAGAGUGCAGAAGGGGCAACUGGAAUUCUCGGUGUAGCGGGGAAAUGCGUAGAUAUCGAGAGGAACACCUGCGGCGAAGGCGGGUUGCUGGGCUGACACUGACGCUGACAGCGCGAAAGCUAGGGGAGCGAACGGG
rnacentral:rRNA from 1 species